UACGUAGGGGGCAAGCGUUGUCCGGAUUUAUUGGGCGUAAAGAGCGUGUAGGCGGCUUUACAGGUCCGUUGUGAAAACUCGAGGCUCAACCUCGAGACGUCGGCGGAAACCAUCUGGCUAGAGUCCGGAAGAGGAGAGUGGAAUUCCUGGUGUAGCGGUGAAAUGCGCAGAUAUCAGGAAGAACACCCGUGGCGAAGGCGGCUCGCUGGGACGGUACUGACGCUAAGGCGCGAAAGCGUGGGGAGCGAACAGG
rnacentral:rRNA from 1 species